UGAUGAACGAAAUCUUUGGUCCGUGUUUAUGACGGGAAGUAAGACCCCCGGUAUGAGUGACACAGAGAAUGUGCCUAGACAGCACACUUCUGA